rnacentral:tRNA from 1 species
GCCUGGGUGGCUCAGUUGGUUGAGCGUCCGACUUCAGCUCAGGUCAUGAUCUCACAGUCUGUGAGUUCGAGCCCCAUGUCAGGCU